UGUUCUGGUAGAUGCAACAUGUGGUCAAGGUUCGUGUCCGAGAAUAUUACAAGAAUGUAUUCAACAUCCUCCUCAGUUGCCGAGGUGUUACAACGACUGUCAAUGUCCAUCACAAUACAAGUGUUGCGCUGACUGUCAGUACGGCUGGACCUGCAAACCUGUACUACAACCUCCUGCAACACAAUACUAGAACAUUAAUGUGAUGUCUGGAGUGUUUAACACACUACACAAUAUUCCUACUAUUGAAUUUAUUUUAUUAUAAGAUGGAUCUAGAUAUUAGCAAAUAUAUAUUUAUAUUUAACAAUGAUAAUUUCACUUCAUAUAUUUUGUGAGUCUUUGAGUAUUUAGGAUUCAUAAAUUAUUGAGUGAGUUGAAGUAUGUGACAAUCGUUAUGUAAAGUAGGGAGAGGCAAGCAUGCUGUUGGUGCAAGCUGGAGGCUUUUUGACCUAAUGUGAAGAGGGAUCUGGUGUAUACUUAGGCCCAAUAAAGAAAUCACAAUUAC